AGGAAACUUAAAUAUAGGAAUCAUCCUUUUUCCCAUUAGAUCCGUGAUUAGUGUCUAGGUUUUAUAUUUAGCAAGGCUCACUAGUUGUUGCCGAGUAUAUAGAGAGAAAGAGGGAAAGAGAGUGCACAAGAGGAAGAGAAAGAAAGAGAGAGAGGGACUUCGGCUAGAGAGAGAAAGAUGAAAGAAAGAGAGAAGGAGAAAAAGGCUAAGGCUCAAGAUUUUCUAGGGUAUCCAAGGUGGUUGUGCUAUUGUGUCCUUGGACACAAUCAAAUGAGGUAGGCGUUAGGUUUCCUAUAUGACAUGCAUUGUGAUGUGAGGCAUUCCAAGAUCUGAGCAAGUAUCUUGUGGGGUGUCGAUGAACUAUUAAACGAUCUAGUUAACGCCAAUAACAUUUUAUGAAGUUAUUUAUGUUUCCUAUUAUGUUUACAGUGGGACUUUAAAAUUUUAUUUUCAAAUUGCAUAAAAGAUAUUAUAUUUUUAUUUUUAAAAAUGAACCCAUAUUGCAUGUUUUGUUAA